rnacentral:rRNA from 1 species
CGGACGGGUGAGGAAUACAUCGGAAUUUGCCCAGUCGUGGGGGAUAACGUAGGGAAACUUACGCUAAUACCGCAUACGACCUAACGGUGAAAGCGGGGGAUCGCAAGACCUCGCGCGAGUGGAUGAGCCGAUGUCGGAUUAGCUAGUUGGCGGGGUAAAGGCCCACCAAGGCGACGAUCCGUAGCUGGUCUGAGAGGAUGAUCAGCCACACUGGGACUGAGACACGGCCCAG